UACCAGCCCCCCGAGUGGUCGGGACGAUUAUUGGGCCUAAAGCAUCCGUAGCCGGUUCUACAAGUCUUCCGUUAAAUCCACCUGCUUAACAGAUGGGCUGCGGAGGAUACUAUUGAGCUAGGAGGCGGGAGAGGCAAGCGGUACUUAGUGGGUAGGGGUAAAAUCCGUUGAUCCAUUGAAGACCACCAGUGGCGAAGGCGGCUUGCCAGAACGCACUCGACGGUGAGGGAUGAAAGCUGGGGGAGCAAACCGG
rnacentral:rRNA from 1 species